GUCUCAAUGAAAUGUCUCUUCACCAUAACAAUAAUGAACUAUUAUCUAUUGCAGCAUGGAUGAGAUUGAGGAAAUUCAGCAGUUGACCCAAUUGUUGGGUGUGAAACAAGCUACCGGUGAUGCUAACGAUAUGAAUGAUUCAAGCUCUGAUGAGGAGAAUGAUGGGGACAAAGAUUGUGAACAAGACACAUUGUAUCCUGAGAAGUCUGUUGUAGUUGGUUCCUGGCAAGAACAAAGAUACCAACAGGCUCUUGCAAUAAUCAUGUAUAGAAGAUAAAAAAAUCUCAAGUUGGAAUUUAAAGUAGAACAUGAGCCAGACAAUGUCCGAGAUUCCAAUGCCCUGAAAUUUUUAGUUUUGCAUAAUGAAAAAUGGCAUAUAAUUGGCUACUGUGGACUGAACAAGAUUCCAAAACUUAAGCGGGCUCUACAUCAGGAUGAGGUACAAUCAAUAUCUUUGGAUAGUUUAGAACGAUCAUAUGCGUUCAUGGAAAAAAGACUACAUGCUUCAUUAUUUAUUGUUAAGCGUGGACUCUGGGACAAAGAUGACGCAAGUAACAAAUAUAAUAAUCAAAUAGAUUGUUGAUAGAUUUGCCACAUAAGGACUUGAUGAUUACAUGGAAGAGGACAAGAAUCAUGAUGGGAAUAAAGAUAAAAGUUUGGAGAGAGAAGAUUGAAUAUGUACGUAAGACCAGCUAGCCCUCAAAUAUAUAAUAUUGAUAAUGAUUACCUGUUAAUUGAACAUGUUAUUGUUAUAAAAAAGCCACAAUUGAAGGACUGAGUCGAUUUCUUGGAAAAUGUGCACUUGUUCGUUCUUACUCCUUAGCAUGUUUAGAAUAAUGACAGCUUUUAUGUAUGUGUUUGAACAAAUUUACUGAAUUAUUUUUACUAAAUUCUAUUUUGGGUUGGUAUAAACUAGUGAUGCUCCCUGUUCUACAUGUACAGUUAAAGUAAGUAUGAAAUAAUGAGUAAAUGAGAUCUGGUUACAAUCCUUUGUUACAAAAUGAUCAAUUAAGAACUCAAGGUACCAUGCAUGCAAAACUGAUUUGCCAAAAUUCAUACUUCAUUCAUGAUAAUAUUUCGUAUGGCAUGGCAAUAAGAUAGACGGCAAUAUUUGCACCAUAAUGCAGUCAUUUCUACAGUAUCUCAAUACAAAUGGUACAUAUUUUUUUUCCAUAUUGCGCAGAAAGAUUAUAACCAAUUUGAAAAUUACAUUUUUUCAAGAGGUACGAACAAAUGUUUUGCCUCUUGAAUGGGGUGUUAGACAAAAUUAAAAGCACUAUUUUGGUAAAUGUGACCAUAUUCUAAUCCAUGGAUUUGGUUGAAUGAAACUAGCGCGACAUUUUUAGUUGAGUUUCCAUAUACAUUACAUUCAUUC